rnacentral:rRNA from 1 species
UACGUAGGCAGCAAGCGUUGUUCGGAUUCACUGGGCGUAAAGGGUGCGUAGGUGGCCAGGUAAGUCUGAUGUGAAAUCUCGGAGCUCAACUCCGAAACUGCAUUGGAUACUAUCUGGCUGGAGGGUCGGAGGGGGGACUGGAAUUCUCGGUGUAGCAGUGAAAUGCGUAGAUAUCGAGAGGAACACCAGUGGCGAAGGCGAGUCCCUGGGCGGCCCCUGACACUGAGGCACGAAAGCGAGGGGAGCAAACAGG